GAUGAACGCUGGCGGCGUGCUUAACACAUGCAAGUCGAACGAUGAAGCCGGAGCUUGCUCUGGUGAAUUAGUGGCGAACGGGUGAGUAACACGUGAGUAACCUGCCCUUGACUCUGGGAUAACUGCGGGAAACUGUAGCUAAUACCGGAUACGACCCUCGGAGGCAUCUCCUGGGGGUGGAAAGAAUUUCGGUCAAGGAUGGACUCGCGGCCUAUCAGCUAGUUGGUGAGGUAAAGGCUCACCAAGGCGACGACGGGUAGCCGGCCUGAGAGGGUGACCGGCCACACUGGGACUGAGACAAGGCCCAGACUCCUACGGGAGGCAGCAGUGGGGAAUAUUGCACAAUGGGCGCAAGCCUGAUGCAGCAACGCCGCGUGAGGGAUGACGGCCUUCGGGUUGUAAACCUCUUUUAGUAGGGAAGAAGCGAAAGUGACGGUACCUGCAGAAAAAGCACCGGCUAACUACGUGCCAGCAGCCGCCGUAA
rnacentral:rRNA from 1 species